UAUGAAGAACGUAGCGAAAUGCGAUACUUGGUGUGAAUUGCAGAAUCCCGUGAACCAUCGAGUCUUUGAACGCAAGUUGCGCCCGAAGCCAUUAGGCCGAGGGCACGCCUGCCUGGGUGUCACACACCGUUACCCUCGCGCCAACGUCCAUCGUUGGCCGCGGCGCGGGGCGUGCGCUGACCUCCCGCGAGCGGGGUCUCGUGGUUGGUUGAAAAUCGAGUUCGCGGUCGAGGGUGCCGUGAUGAAAUGGUGGAUGGGCGACGCCCGAGGCCAAUCACGCGCGACUCUGUCCGGCCCGGACUCCUGGACCCCUUCGGCGUCUCCGGACGCUCUUUGGCGAGACCUCAGGUCAGGCGGGGCUACCCGCUGAGUUUAAGCAUAUCAAUAAGCGGAGGA
rnacentral:misc_RNA from 1 species